UAGAAGAGAAGGUGUCUUACCCCCAGGUAGAAGAGCAGGUGUCUUACCCCCAGGUAGAAGAGAAGACGUCUUACCCCCAGGUAGAAGAGAAGGUGUCUUAGCCCCAGGUAGAAGAGAAGACGUCUUACCCCCAGGUAGAAGAGAAGACAUCUUACCCCCAGGUAGAAGAGAAGGUGUCUUCACCCCAGGUAGAAGAGAAGGUGUCUCACCCCCAGGUAGAAGAGAAGGUGUCUUACCCGCAGGUAGAAGAGAAGACAUCUUACCCCCAGGUAGAAGAGAAGGUGUCUUCACCCCAGGUAGAAGAGAAGGUGUCUUACCCCCAGGUAGAAGAGAAGGUGUCUUUACCCCAGGUAGAAGAGAAGACAUCUUACCCCCAGGUAGAAGAGAAUACCUCGUACCCCCCGGUAGAAGAGAAGACAUCUUACCCCCAGGUACAAGAGAAGACAUCUUACCCCCAGGUAGAAGAGAAGACAUCUUACCCCAGGUAGAAGAGAAGACAUCUUACCCCAGGUAGAAGAGAAGACAUCUUACCCCAGGUAGAAGAGAAGACAUCUUACCCCAGGUAGAAGAGAAGACAUCUUACCCCAGGUAGAAGAGAAGACAUCUUACCCCAGGUAGAAGAGAAGACAUCUUACCCCAGGUAGAAGAGAAGACAUCUUACCCCAGGUAGAAGAGAAGACAUCUUACCCCAGGUAGAAGAGAAGACAUCUUACCCCAGGUAGAAGAGAAGACAUCUUACCCCAGGUAGAAGAGAAGAACACACAUGAAGGAGAGAGAUCCCUGGAUCUUCACUGAGCUGGUCACCACCCUGAUCAACUGAAACAGACACACA